ensembl:lincRNA
CCUAAGUCAGUGGCACGUUUUUAACAGCUGCCUCCUUCCCGCUUGUCCCCCACAGGCUGGUGCUGGUACAAAUGGCCCCUUUCUAUCUGCCUGGUCCCCACCCACCAGUCCAAGGGCCAUCUCCCUGUGGGGACAGGAGACCCAGGACUCCCACCCUGGGGGCCACCACCAGGCUGGCUAUCCUCAUGCCAUCAUCUCAGGAUAAGUCUGAGUCCCUCCCUCUUUUUCCGUCCAAGACUGACAGUAGGUCCUCAGGAUGGUUUGAUGGAAGGAUCAAGGGUGAGACGCCCUUUGCAGCCUCAGGGGACCACUGGAAACUGCGCCCCUGCUGGAAACUCAAGACAAUUUCUGCUCAUCCAGCAGCUGACUGGUUGGUUUCCCCAAACCCUUGGCCCAGCAGCAGCUCCAGCCCCUCAGGACUCUGGGUUAGCCCUGGGGUACACAUUUCCCACAUUUGCAGGUCUGACAUACAGGACACACAGACAGUCUUUAUCAGGCUUUCCACUGUCUGCUGUCCUCGCUGUUGGCCAUUUCUUGGUGACAGUCUGCAGGCCCUUGGGGUACUCAUUUCUUCCUCCUUCUCUGCCUCCUCUGAGGUCUCCUCUCCACUCUGGGAGUUGUUUGACUUGCUUUCUUGCUUUCUGGGUCCUCUUGGUGGGCAGUGGGUGGCAGGUGUGUAGGAGGAUGCUUCAGGGCCUUAGGAGUCACCUGGUCAUGCUCCCUGAGUUUACUGAUGAGGAAACAGAUUCAGAGAGGAGGGGCAGGUCCCCUGGGACACACAGCGAGUGAGUGAUGGAACCAGGACUGGAGUCCAGGUCCUCUGGCUCUUGUUGUACACAGUGCCCAUUGCGGGCCUCUGGAGGGGAUGUGGAGCAGAAUGCUCAUGGGAAAUUUGCUAGAGAAGAUGAAUUUUGAGUUGGAUCUUAGAGGAUGGAACAGUUUUGAACUGGAGGGUCUGUCUGGGGGCACUACUGGGGAAGGGACAGAUGGGCUGGGGGCCAGUUCACUGAGAUGCUCAGGAGAACAUUUCCAAGAUCCCUCCCAGGCUGGUAUCCUUGGGCAAACCCCACACCCUCUCUGAGCCUGCAUCCUUUCCCAUAAAACAAGGAAAACCACACCUGCUCUGUAGGUCCUAUUAAUGAGCAUAGUAUUAAUUACAGUUGACAUUUAUGGGGUGUUUACCUUGUGCCAGGCGCUGGGCCAAGUGGGCACCUGACAUAUAUUAUCUCAUACAAUUCUCACAGCAAACCCACGCCUGACCUCACAGCAAGCUCUGAAUGAAUGCUUUAAGAAGGAUAGAAGUCACUUAGUGUAAUUUCAGGCACAUAACCACCAUUUGGUAAAUGGCAUCAACAAUGACAAGUAAGAAUGACAAUACUUGGUCCCUUCCUGUGGCCUUAUUUUCUAAUUUUUCCUCCUCUAGAGCAGCCUGCUAAGAAUCUGUUUUUGGAAGCAGCUGUCCUGGAAUCUUCCUCCUCCAGGAAGACUUCCUGGACCAGCGUGGAAUCUGUGGCUCUCCCUGGCCUUUCUACCCUGAAUUUCUGUCCUAUUUGUGUCCAUCUUGGUGAUUUAGAGUGUGGGCCCGGGUCCCUGUUCCCCAGUCUGAAAGGUCCCACAGUUUCCUCAGGGCAGAUGGCAGGGGCGGGGCGGGG